UAGGGAAUCUUCCACAAUGGGCGAAAGCCUGAUGGAGCAACGCCGCGUGUGUGAUGAAGGCUUUCGGGUCGUAAAGCACUGUUGUAUGGGAAGAACAGCUAGAAUAGGAAAUGAUUUUAGUUUGACGGUACCAUACCAGAAAGGGACGGCUAAAUACGUGCAG
rnacentral:rRNA from 1 species